rnacentral:rRNA from 1 species
AUGGCGACCGGCGCACGGGUGAGUAACACGUAUCCAACCUGCCGAUGACUCGGGGAUAGCCUUUCGAAAGAAAGAUUAAUGCCCGAUGGCAUAGUUCUUCCGCAUGGUGGAACUAUUAAAGAAUUUCGGUCAUCGAUGGGGAUGCGUUCCAUUAGGUUGUUGGCGGGGUAACGGCCCACCAAGCCUUCGAUGGAUAGGGGUUCUGAGAGGAAGGUCCCCCACAUUGGAACUGAGACACGGUCCAAACUCCUACGGGAGGCAGCAUG